GAUGAACGCUGGCGGCGUGCCUAAUACAUGCAAGUCGAACGAAACUUCUUUAUCACCGAGUGCUUGCACUCACCGAUAAAGAGUUGAGUGGCGAACGGGUGAGUAACACGUGGGCAACCUGCCCAAAAGAGGGGGAUAACACUUGGAAACAGGUGCUAAUACCGCAUAACCAUAGUUACCGCAUGGUAACUAUGUAAAAGGUGGCUAUCCUACCGCUUUUGGAGGGGCCCGCGGCGCAUUAGCUAGUUGGUAGGGUAAAGGCUUACCAAGGCAAUGAUGCGUAGCCGAAUUGAGAGGUUGAUCGGCCACAUUGGGACUGAGACACGGCCCAAACUCCUACGGGAGGCAGCAGUAGGGAAUCUUCCACAAUGGGCGAAAGCCUGAUGGAGCAACGCCGCGUGGGUGAAGAAGGUCUUCGGAUCGUAAAACCCUGUUGUUAGAGAAGAAAGUGCGUGAGAGUAACUGUUCACGUUUCGACGGUAUCUAACCAGAAAGCCACGGCUAACUACGUG
rnacentral:rRNA from 1 species